rnacentral:rRNA from 1 species
UACGUAGGGUGCAAGCGUUAUCCGGAAUUAUUGGGCGUAAAGAGCUCGUAGGCGGUUUGUCGCGUCUGCUGUGAAAACUGGGGGCUCAACCCCCAGCCUGCAGUGGGUACGGGCAGACUAGAGUGCGGUAGGGGAGAUUGGAAUUCCUGGUGUAGCGGUGGAAUGCGCAGAUAUCAGGAGGAACACCGAUGGCAAAGGCAGAUCUCUGGGCCGUAACUGACGCUGAGGAGCGAAAGCAUGGGGAGCGAACAGG